rnacentral:rRNA from 1 species
ACAUGCAAGUCGAACGAAGUAGCAAUACUUAGUGGCGAACGGGUGAGUAUAAUGUGGGUAUCUGCCCUUUGGUCUGGAAUAACACGGGGAAACUUGUGCUAAUACUAGAUAAGCCUUUACAGGGAAAGCUUUAGCGCCAAUGGAUGAGCUCACACUUGAUUAAUUAGUUGGUAGGGUAAUGGCCUACCAAGGUUGCGAUCAAUAGCUGAUCUGAGAGGAUGAUCAGCCACACUGGGACUGAGACACGGCCCAGACUCCUACGGGAGGCAGCAGUGGGGAAUUUUCCGCAAUGGGCGAAAGCCUGACGGAGCAACGCCGCGUGAGGGAUGAAGGCCUCUGGGCUGUAAACCUCUUUUCUCAAGGAAGAAGAUCUGACGGUACUUGAGGAAUAAGCCACGGCUAAUUCCGUGCCAGCAGCCGCGGUAAUACGGGAGUGGCAAGCGUUAUCCGGAAUUAUUGGGCGUAAAGCGUCCGUAGGCGGCUUUUCAAGUCUGCUGUUAAAACGUGGAGCUUAACUCCAUCAAGGCAGUGGAAACUGAUUGGCUUGAGUGUGGUAGGGGCAGAGGGAAUUCCCGGUGUAGCGGUGAAAUGCGUAGAUAUCGGGAAGAACACCAGUGGCGAAGGCGCUCUGCUGGGCCAUAACUGACGCUCAUGGACGAAAGCCAGGGGAGCGAAAGGGAUUAGAUACCCCUGUAGUCCUGGCCGUAAACGAUGAACACUAGGUGUCGGGGGAAUCGACCCCCUCGGUGUCGUAGCCAACGCGUUAAGUGUUCCGCCUGGGGAGUACGCACGCAAGUGUGAAACUCAAAGGAAUUGACGGGGGCCCGCACAAGCGGUGGAGUAUGUGGUUUAAUUCGAUGCAACGCGAAGAACCUUACCAGGAUUUGACAUCCUGCGAAUCUUCUUGAAACGAGAGAGUGCCUUCGGGACGCAGUGACAGGUGUGCAUGCUGUCGUCAGCUCGUGUCGUGAGAUGUGGGUUAGUCCCGCACGAGCGCAACCACGUUUUAGUUGCAGCAUUUAGUUGGCACUCUAAAAGAACCGCCGUGAUAAACCGGAGAGGUGUGGAUGACGUCAGUCAUCAUGCCCUUAACUCUGGCUACCACGUACUACAUGCUACGGACAAAGGCCAGCGACUCGCGAGCAAGCAAUCCUAAAGCGUGUCAGUUCGAUCGUAGGCUGCCAUCGCCUACGUGAGAGAGGAACUCGCUUGAUAC